UACAGAGGGGGCAAGCGUUGUUCGGAAUUACUGGGCGUAAAGGGCGCGUAGGCGGCCCGCUAAGUCGAACGUGAAAUCCCCGGGCUCAACCCGGGAACUGCGUCCGAUACUGGUGGGCUUGAAUCCGGGAGAGGGAUGCGGAAUUCCAGGUGUAGCGGUGAAAUGCGUAGAUAUCUGGAGGAAUACCGGUGGCGAAGGCGGCAUCCUGGACCGACAUUGACGCUGAGGAGCGAAAGCUAGGGGAGCAAACGGGG
rnacentral:rRNA from 1 species